rnacentral:rRNA from 1 species
CGGGACACGUGGUAUCCUGUCUGAAUAUGGGGGGACCAUCCUCCAAGGCUAAAUACUCCUGACUGACCGAUAGUGAACCAGUACCGUGAGGGAAAGGCGAAAAGAACCCCGGCGAGGGGAGUGAAAAAGAACCUGAAACCGUGUACGUACAAGCAGUGGGAGCCUCUUUAUGGGGUGACUGCGUACCUUUUGUAUAAUGGGUCAGCGACUUAUAUUCUGUAGCAAGGUUAACCGAAUAGGGGAGCCGAAGGGAAACCGAGUCUUAACUGGGCGUUAAGUUGCAGGGUAUAGACCCGAAACCCGGUGAUCUAGCCAUGGGCAGGUUGAAGGUUGGGUAACACUAACUGGAGGACCGAACCGACUAAUGUUGAAAAAUUAGCGGAUGACUUGUGGCUGGGGGUGAAAGGCCAAUCAAACCGGGAGAUAGCUGGUUCUCCCCGAAAGCUAUUUAGGUAGCGCCUCGUGAAUUCAUCUCCGGGGGUAGAGCACUGUUUCGGCAAGGGGGUCAUCCCGACUUACCAACCCGAUGCAAACUGCGAAUACCGGAGAAUGUUAUCACGGGAGACACACGGCGGGUGCUAACGUCCGUCGUGAAGAGGGAAACAACCCAGACCGCCAGCUAAGGUCCCAAAGUCAUGGUUAAGUGGGAAACGAUGUGGGAAGGCCCAGACAGCCAGGAUGUUGGCUUAGAAGCAGCCAUCAUUUAAAGAAAGCGUAAUAGCUCACUGGUCGAGUCGGCCUGCGCGGAAGAUGUAACGGGGCUAAACCAUGCACCGAAGCUGCGGCAGCGACACUAUGUGUUGUUGGGUAGGGGAGCGUUCUGUAAGCCUGUGAAGGUGGCCUGUGAGGGUUGCUGGAGGUAUCAGAAGUGCGAAUGCUGACAUAAGUAACGAUAAAGCGGGUGAAAAGCCCGCUCGCCGGAAGACCAAGGGUUCCUGUCCAACGUUAAUCGGGGCAGGGUGAGUCGACCCCUAAGGCGAGGCCGAAAGGCGUAGUCGAUGGGAAACAGGUUAAUAUUCCUGUACUUGGUGUUACUGCGAAGGGGGGACGGAGAAGGCUAUGUUGGCCGGGCGACGGUUGUCCCGGUUUAAGCGUGUAGGCUGGUUUUCCAGGCAAAUCCGGAAAACCAAGGCUGAGGCGUGAUGACGAGGCACUACGGUGCUGAAGCGACAAAUGCCCUGCUUCCAGGAAAAGCCUCUAAGCAUCAGGUAACAUCAAAUCGUACCCCAAACCGACACAGGUGGUCAGGUAGAGAAUACCAAGGCGCUUGAGAGAACUCGGGUGAAGGAACUAGGCAAAAUGGUGCCGUAACUUCGGGAGAAGGCACGCUGAUAUGUAGGUGAAGCGACUUGCUCGUGGAGCUGAAAUCAGUCGAAGAUACCAGCUGGCUGCAACUGUUUAUUAAAAACACAGCACUGUGCAAACACGAAAGUGGACGUAUACGGUGUGACGCCUGCCCGGUGCCGGAAGGUUAAUUGAUGGGGUUAGCGGUAACGCGAAGCUCUUGAUCGAAGCCCCGGUAAACGGCGGCCGUAACUAUAACGGUCCUAAGGUAGCGAAAUUCCUUGUCGGGUAAGUUCCGACCUGCACGAAUGGCGUAAUGAUGGCCAGGCUGUCUCCACCCGAGACUCAGUGAAAUUGAACUCGCUGUGAAGAUGCAGUGUACCCGCGGCAAGACGGAAAGACCCCGUGAACCUUUACUAUAGCUUGACACUGAACAUUGAGCCUUGAUGUGUAGGAUAGGUGGGAGGCUUUGAAGUGUGGACGCCAGUCUGCAUGGAGCCGACCUUGAAAUACCACCCUUUAAUGUUUGAUGUUCUAACGUUGGCCCGUAAUCCGGGUUGCGGACAGUGUCUGGUGGGUAGUUUGACUGGGGCGGUCUCCUCCUAAAGAGUAACGGAGGAGCACGAAGGUUGGCUAAUCCUGGUCGGACAUCAGGAGGUUAGUGCAAUGGCAUAAGCCAGCUUGACUGCGAGCGUGACGGCGCGAGCAGGUGCGAAAGCAGGUCAUAGUGAUCCGGUGGUUCUGAAUGGAAGGGCCAUCGCUCAACGGAUAAAAGGUACUCCGGGGAUAACAGGCUGAUACCGCCCAAGAGUUCAUAUCGACGGCGGUGUUUGGCACCUCGAUGUCGGCUCAUCACAUCCUGGGGCUGAAGUAGGUCCCAAGGGUAUGGCUGUUCGCCAUUUAAAGUGGUACGCGAGCUGGGUUUAGAACGUCGUGAGACAGUUCGGUCCCUAUCUGCCGUGGGCGCUGGAGAACUGAGGGGGGCUGCUCCUAGUACGAGAGGACCGGAGUGGACGCAUCACUGGUGUUCGGGUUGUCAUGCCAAUGGCACUGCCCGGUAGCUAAAUGCGGAAGAGAUAAGUGCUGAAAGCAUCUAAGCACGAAACUUGCCCCGAGAUGAGUUCUCCCUGACUCCUUGAGAGUCCUGAAGGAACGUUGAAGACGACGACGUUGAUAGGCCGGGUGUGUAAGCGCAGCGAUGCGUUGAGCUAACCGGUACUAAUGAACCGUGAGGCUUAACCUU